rnacentral:rRNA from 1 species
UGGGGAAUAUUGGACAAUGGGCGCAAGCCUGAUCCAGCCAUGCCGCGUGUGUGAAGAAGGCCUUUUGGUUGUAAAGCACUUUAAGCGAGGAGGAGGCUACUUGGAUUAAUACUCUCGGAUAGUGGACGUUACUCGCAGAAUAAGCACCGGCUAACUCUGUGCCAGCAGCCGCGGUAAUACAGAGGGUGCGAGCGUUAAUCGGAUUUACUGGGCGUAAAGCGUGCGUAGGCGGCUUCUUAAGUCGGAUGUGAAAUCCCUGAGCUUAACUUAGGAAUUGCAUUCGAUACUGAGAAGCUAGAGUAUGGGAGAGGAUGGUAGAAUUCCAGGUGUAGCGGUGAAAUGCGUAGAGAUCUGGAGGAAUACCGAUGGCGAAGGCAGCCAUCUGGCCUAAUACUGACGCUGAGGUACGAAAGCAUGGGGAGCAAACAGG